rnacentral:misc_RNA from 1 species
UCGUCGCUCAAGGCCUAGGGAGAGACAUAUCCCCAGCACCACUACCCCCUAGACACACGCACACACACGUACACGUACACCGUCAUACGUUCGCCGAGGGAACCUCUGGCGAGCUCCAGGAAUAACGGCACGGCCGCCUUGCAGUCGCUACGCGUGGUGGCGUUCUGCAUUGCCGCUCGCGCACGGUAUGUGGUAGUGGUCACGUCGGCGGCUCAAGUGCUCCCUGGUAUUGUCACGCCUUUGCGGCGAGGUGUAUCCCGCCUCCUGACUGCCGCGCAGUAGCUUAUCGCGCAGUCUUACACUGCCCUCCCCCUUCCCUCUCCCCUUUCGCUUCAUGCGAUAUACCUAACGUCACUGUUUUUUUUUUUCUUUUUUUUUUCGUUCCAGUCGGUUCUCGUCUUAACCGUCUCGGUUUCCAGCGACGUGUCUCUAAUGAACGUUUCGGGCGACGGAGGGGUUCACCGAGGGACGUGCCCACGCCCAGGGGAAGACUCUGCCUCCAUCUUCGCCACGUUGUCUGGUGCGCUCCCCAAAAAUCAAAAUCACAGCCAGUGCUCUGUGGGGAGCACGAAGGCAUGCAAGGAGGAGGAGGAGGAGAGGCUCAUUGUCGAGGAUGCACUGCGCCGAUUGCCUCAACUCGCCGCGUUUCCGCUACCGUCGAUGUCUCCUUGGGCCUCGAGCCACGUAAAUGAUACACCGGUCGAAAACUCCUCUUUCUACUCGCGUCAAGGUACCUCGUACACUCUGGCAGCUGACGAGGAGGCACUGCUGCUGCAGGAGCUGGUGAACAUCACCGCCGGCGCCGCGCCAUUCGUCUCCACUGCCGCUCAGGAGGAGCAUGCCGCCGGCGGCUUGGAAAAAAGGCCGGGCGAGGCCGCUAGUCUGCUGGGUAGCAGGGAAACAGGCAUACGGGUACCAGCAGCAACAGACACUGCAAAUGGUGAUUGCGCCUCUAGCGCACCGAAAGUGUCGGCAAGCGAGCCCGCUGCCACUUCUCCGGCUGCCUCAUCUGCUCAUUCCUCCACUCACACUGGAAAAGGUGCCAGCUCGUCAAAGAGACGGCGCGCCGUCGCGUCACCCACAUCUUCCAAGACGGCGGUGCUGAAAGAGGAGCAGGACAUCCUUGACGCCAUUUUCGCUGCUGUGGACGGUCAGCAGUCCAGCGUAAGUGGUGAUCUGCUGGGCGAAACGUCGUCUGCGGCGGCGGCUGAAGCGCCGGCAACUUCCGCUGACAGCGAUGAGGAGAUAGACGAGGUGGACCUGGUGCUGGAGCAGGCGAAACAGCUGACCUCAUCGACCGUGUUGUGCGAAACUCAGCGUGGCGAGCUGAUACUGCACGUUCACGAGCACAUGGCGCUUCGCAGCAAACUUGCGGACCUGCGCAAAACGGCCGGGGAGCCGACGUGCGUGGCUGUUGCAGAGCCAUUCGAUAUAAGUGCCAGGGCGCCGACGCACGCAAGCACCGCUUCACCGGCGGCUCGCACUCCGUCGCAGUCGCUCAGCUGCGCCAUGGGCACAUCGCUCGGCGUCGUUGUCCUCUUCGAUCGCCGAUGGACGGUGCUCGGCAUAUGCGGCUCCGUAGAGGCGAGUGUGGUGAAUGCCCGUGGCGCCGUCGUCUCCCUGUCACUCUGCACCUCCACCGCUGCUCUUGUUGGAGUCGAUGAGACAUGCGAUGGGCGAACGGCAGCCACUGGUCACGCAAGAGGCACGUUUGUUCUUUGGUCGCUGCACACGUUCUCCCCUCUGCGAGUCGUGUCCGAUGAGAGCAGGGUGCCGGUGCUGCGUGUAAUGCACCUGCAUCGCGACCCGACACGCAUUCUCGUCCUGGAUAGCAGUGGUGCCGUGAGGUUUUUUCAGUUUUGGAAAGUGAUGGCGAAGUACAUGUUGCGCGCCACCUCCGUCACCUCCGCUUUAGUGGCGGCGCCGAUCAGUGACAUUGAUACGCUGCCGUGUCCCAGCAGCUUCUACAUGGCUAAUCUGACAACGCUGAAGCAGCACAUGCCGUGCAGCAACGGAGAGGAAAGCGAUGGUGACGUCAGCGCGCCGUGGCUAUGCGCACCCCCACCGCUUCCACCGGCAACGGCCACCGCGGCAGGCAUAUCGCGGACGACGUGGCCCGCCAUCGCUGGCAAGCACUUUGUCGCCGCGGUAAGCAAUGAUGCGGUGCUGGUAUACGUUGUAGAGACAGGAUUGCAGGGCACCGUCACAGGCGUGGCGCGCCACAGCCACCCACCCUCGUCGGCGCUCAGCAACGAGCUCGUUCGCUUUGUCGUGAUGGAGCUAGGGACGUCGACGCCGCGGCUGCUGCUGUGCAUCUCUUGGAACACAGAGGUGGAGCUGCUGUUGGUGAAUCUGCGGCUCCCAGAGCCGAGCGGCAGCAGGAAGACGGCAGCGGCAGAGCCGAUGCUGGAAGGCCUGGAGCGGCUUGCCCUGCUGCGGGUGUCGGCGCCGCUGGUGCAGAUGGUUCCGCUGGCGGGAUGCAGCGUGCUCCUGUGUGACCAAAACAGUGACGCUCAGCUCAUGGACGCAUCCGUGGCGGUUAUGGUGGAGCGGCACCGUUUUGGCUCUCUCGAGUACGUUGGCUUCGCAGGCCGUCUGUGUGGCGUCAAAUACCACGGGACCGCCGCGUCGAACCGCGCCGCGGCGUUGCUGAUGGGCAAAGAGCACGCCUACGGCAUCUCGCUUCGUUCGUGGCGAGAGAGACUGUCCUCACUUCUAGCGCGCCGCAAGUACACCCAGGCACUGGACCUCGCGAAAGGGUUCGCCGAGGAAGUAGCGCUCUCCACCGUCGGCUUCAGCAGCAACGCCGCGAACUGCCGCCGCGAACUGCAUCAGUUCAUGGAGCGCAUCCUCAUCGCAUACGUGGAGAGCCGUCUUGCUGCGCUGCCGAGGACCGAGGCGACAGGCAAGAGCAGUGGCGGACCGCCAAAGCAGUCAGCAGGAAACAGUGGCCCUAUUUGCGGGGCCGAGUGCCUUCUUGAUGUGCUGCAGCAAAUUGCAUCCUACUGCAGCGCCGUCGACGGAUUAAACUUGCUGUAUGGCCCCGUCGCCCUCGCACUUCAGCAGCGGGGGCUGCUUUCGCACCUGCUGUACGUGCUAGAGCAGUGUAUGCGGCACGGCAUUAUCACGUACAUGCCCGAGACGCUGAUUGAGCGAUUUAUUCAUCUGUUCCUCGAUGAUGCUGAACUCGAUGCGGUGGAGGUGGCGCUGGGAAUGCGGCCGCGAGCACCACAAGAUGGAAAGGAAGCGCGAGGCGACGUACUCGAUGCGGGGCAGGUUGCAGAUUCAGCCGCGAAGAUAAGCGGCAGGGACCGUGUGGAGCUGGCCCUUAUGUUCCUCGACUCGGGCGCUCCUACUUUGCUGCGGCUUGCGCAAGAGCACGGUUUGGUACGCCUAACUGUGACCAUCUUGUCGCUGCGGCAGCAGCGCUACGUCGACGCCCUGGCGUACGCGUUGGACGAGGAGCAGAAAGCAGACGAUGGCCUUCACGGGAGUGACCGUGGCACAGACGUCUGUGCGUCACGGGUACUGGCGUGCCCAAAUCUUUUCGGCUCACCCGACGCCGCCUCUGUGGCUGUUGACUUCGUCGAGUGUACCUUGAAGGGUGUCAGCCUCCUGCCAGGGGCUUCUCUUGCCAUCGGUGAACAACGUCCGGCCAAGAGGGCGAUUCUCGAGUAUCUUCUGAGGACGGCCCCCAGCGACGGCAGGAACGCACACAGCAGUGCCGUUGGUGGUGGGGUGCACAACCUGCUCCGUUUCUUGCGACGGCAGCCGGAGCACGCCAUGCGUGUGCUCCUGUUCGCCCUCUCCGACGAAGGUCCGUGUAGUCCGUGGGGCGGCGCUGAUGGACUCUCUCGCACCCAGUUUGUGUCUAGUGUAUAUUUCAUCUUGACUGGGGGCUCACGCACGCGGCCGCGCCACGCAACGGAGAGCGACUUGCUGUCGGCGAGCGGCCAACGGCAGGGGCCGCUGGAUCUUUUCCGCAUUGACGAUGAUUCGUUGAACCGCCUCCCGGCCCUGCGGACGCUGAAGGCGACCGAGCUGGCGCAGCGCCCCUUCCCGCCGUACAUCGCUGUCCACACCUUCCUCGCUGGGGCCGCCAUCUUCAAUGAGCUUUUUCUCUCCACGGACGCCGGCGAGCUCGCCAGCGACGAGCCGGACCGUCCGCCUGUGCGCCUCGACGUGUGGCUUGACCUGGUCAUCCAAGACGUGCUCUUUGCGUUUCAGAGCGCUGAGAGGGCCGAGGAGCGGCGAGAAUUGCAGGAGCACCUGCUCCGCGUCCUCGCCCCCGACCUGCUUCCGCCAUAUCGUGUCGCCGUCUUUCAGUCAGACUUCACGCGGCUUCGCAUGGCGCGCUGCCUGGCCGCCCUCUUUUGCAAGGAGCAGCGGUAUGCAGAGGCGAUUGCGUGCUACACGGACCCUUUGCAGAACUGCGUGGAUGCGCACCUACAGCAAGACGUGUUCAAGAUGCUCCGUGACGAGAUGCAGCACUUGCAAGACAUGAGGACGCAAACAAUGAACCGCGCCCAGCAAGAGUCGAGUCAGAGCCAACGCCUUGAAAACAGCGCGCGUGACAGCGAUCGCGAUGCCGCGUCGCUUAUGGGCGGAUCGGCCACGUCUGAGGUGGGCGGAGGCUUUGACGACAUCGUCGAGCAACACUUCAGUAAGGAGUCCUCGUUGAUCUCGCCCACCGUUACCGCCACAACCACGGCUCCUAUCGACGCUGCCAUCAAGGCCCUCCAGCGAGCGGUGAUGAGCCAGGUGGAGUUGCUCGUCCGCAUCGACGCGACGGCGCUCGCGCAGUUCAUCUUCGACUACUUGCCGUCGAACCAACGCGAGGUGAUAAAUCUACUUCGCGGCUCUAGCGCCGCCUUCAUGGACUACCUCGAUGAGCUGGUGACCCAAGGCGACCAGGCGGUAGCAAACGACAUGAGCUUGCAGAAUACGUACAUUGAGCUCCUCUGCGCACAUGCUCCGAGGCGCGUGUACAGCUAUCUGCAGGAAAAGGGCAAUCGAGUCACCUACGAUGUGCAGCUGGCGCUGCGUGCCGUGCGCAAGCACCGCAUCGCCGACGCCGCCGUAUACUUGCUGGAAAAGGCGAUGAUGAUCGAAGAUGCGAUGACGGUGAUGCUGCGGGCCGUGCGCGAGCUGCUCGGUGCUCUUCGCGAAGAGGUUUUGACCCGCGUGACUACAGGUGCGGAAGCAGCAGCUGAGGCGCAGGGCGACCAAGACCGUGACGGAUCAUCUCCCCCGCUGUUCACAAGCACACCCGGUACUGAAGCAGGCGAAGCGGCGACGCAGCGCGGAUGCAGGAGGCGCUCGACUCGCGGAAAGGAUGCCCCGCCGCUGACGUUCGAACUCGCCACUUUGGAUUCCGCGACUGAGUUAUGGCGCUUUGUCGGCAUCGGGGAGGAGCUGUGCGGCAGGCAUCAAGCAGAGCGCGUCACGGGGGGCUCGUCGACCACUGACGCCGCCGCCCCUCUUGCAGCCGUGUCUUCGCGCACCUUUUCUUCGGCUACGCACGCGUUUCCCGGCGGCUCUCCGCAGCACCCCGAGUACUGGUUUCGACUGCUUGAUGUCUUCAUGGUGCCACGCCGGCUCUUGUGCGAGAUGAUGACGCAGGAUGAUCGGCUGCACGCUCUCGACACAGCCCCGGUGCCAGCUCGGCCAUUCGCAAGCAGCGACCCCACAGGUAUGAGCAACGAGCUGGAUGCUGCCGCUCACAUCGCCAUGGCGUCCCAUGCUGGUGCGGCAGCCGCGUCGCUGGCACACCCGCUCUCUGCUGCGGGGCCACCGCAGCACUUGGCGAGCUUGACCACACCCCUCAGCAGAGGGCAGAGACGGUGCGUCGAAGCGCUUGUCGCGGUCUACACCCAGUACACCUCCAGCAUUCUGCAAUCGAUGAUGCGCUCCCUCGACAUCGCCGUCGUCGUGGACAAGGUGGUGCAAGACAACAAGGACGGGACAUUUCGCGCCCUCAAGCCCAUUCUUUUGGAUAUGAUGGCCACCCUCAGCUUCGACCUCGAGGCGAGUCGUCUGUGCAAGCUUGCGACAGAGCGUGACGUGAUACUGCUGGGACGCGAGCUCUAUCAGAUGCUAAACAGGAGCGUUGUGCCACAGUCGGACUGCUGUGCCUUUUGCCACAUUCACCUCUGUAAGCCGCCUCUGCCGCAGCCAGCGGGAGACGAGGUGGGUGCUGCUGCCGCUGUCGACCUCGUACCUUUGGCAGUUUCCGUGUACACGUGUGGGCACGCCUUCCACACGGUCUGCGCUGCGCAGGCGAUGGGGUCGCGCCAGGGGUGCGGGAUUUGCAUGCGGAGCAGGUGUUCUUCUGGCAAGCCGGGAGGAUCCGAGGUUUGUGGCAAUGCCAGUGGUGCAUCAGCCGCGUGGCCUUCCACAAGCGGCGGCGCUGCUGCCGAUCGCGCUGGGCACCGGGACCAUGCCGACCCUGUGACCACCGUGGUCAUGCGGGCAGCGGAGAGGACCAUCGAUGUGGCUCGCAUGCAGCGCCGCGUGCGCCAGACGAAAAUGAAGAUGGACCACCCCGAAGACCUCUACUCCGUGCUGAAGUCGCUCCUGGCAUGGGACACCACGGCAUCCGACUCUUCGCUCGGCAAAGCUGGACCUGGUGUGACGAGAGACAGGUCAGGCAACUGUGUGCUUGCGCCGUCUCCAUCAGUGCCUGCCGUGGUCGGGCAGGUGCACGACCCCGUGACAGGCGGGGUGACAACCACGCAGGACAAGGUCCUCGACACCCUCACUGAUGCGGAGAUCCUGGAGCUGUUUGGCGGGGCCUGAUGCGUAGAGUCUUCACUUGAUCCUUGGUUGCGGGGACCUCUGCUAUGGUUAGCUCGUGCGCUUGAAAUGAUGGAGACCUAAUGGUGUCCGCCUUUCCCACGGGUGCGUCGCUGAUUUAACCGCACUUCGCUUCCGUCGUUUUCUCGACUCUUGCUUCCCGGCAUGCGUGCGCGGGGGAGGGGAAUUGCUCACCGAACCGCCCGUAACAAAAAAAAAAGAAAGGGGGACCCUUUGCGAAGUUGUUGUGCGCGGCUGUGCCACCGCACACGUCGACUCCCCGCGUACGCGUUCCAUCUCUAGCUGCGAUCCCUCUAUGCUGUUCUCGUCCCCUUCAUUACUGCUUUGUCUUCGACGCCGAUCCUUCGACACACAAAACACACGCACACGGGCGAACAAG